rnacentral:pre_miRNA from 1 species
GGCGGGUCUGGGUCUGGAUUACGCAAUUUUAAGACGUGACUAGAUCCAUACUCGUCUA